GAGGCAGAAGAGAGAGAGGAGAGUGCCAUGGAGGCAGGAGAGGAAGGGACUGCAACUGCCAUGGUCCACCAGUUACUUAUUGUUGGCCAGAGACGCAAGAAAUCAAAGUGCAAUGUCCAUACCAAUUUGGAAGUUUUUCCAAUAAAAAAACUGGGAAAAGAAAGGACCAGAAAGGUUAGUUUACAAGCAGAAUAAGGGGACUUCAGAUCACCUAAAAUGGAAAUGCAAAGCAACUCAACUUCUACUAGAGUACACAGACAUUAGCCCAGAAUACACAAGCCAUUCAGACGUACUAGGGAUGGCCAAGAAAUGACAAAAAACUCAUCUCAUCAUUAGGUACAUUCGGACCCAAUGGUUCUAAGAACAUAGUUGCACUUAUUACUAACUGGAUAAUUAGAAAUGAUUUCCUCCUGGUAGCUGAUGAAACAAAGCAUAUGCCAUAGUCUGACAUGGGUAAACCAAUGGUGUAGAUGACACCGCAGGUUUUUAUUUAAAAGAGAUAAUGGCUACUAAAAUAUAAUACAUAUUAUUUUAUUGCAUUUGUAUUAGUUGUAAAAACAUAUUUGGUUGGUCUUAACGUAAGUUUACAACCGGGAGUAAAAGAAAAAAUAUUUGGGUCGUUAUUUUCAAGGAUGGCCCUAGUAGCCCAAUCAUUACAUGAACAUGAAUGAAUGAAACGGACAGCAUUUAGUUACUAGCUACUGAAGUGUAUUGACUAGAAGUGCAUGGUAUACCAAGGCAUAGAAAAAGAAUCAGCAUUGUUAAUAAAAUAUGUUCUCAAAUUUAAGCAGAAGCUGCAUUAUUUUUACAGAUAUUUUUAAAUGCUGCUUUGGCAUGCACAUCAGUCAAGAUAAAAGACCCCAACCCCAAAGUAUGGGCACAAACAGUUAUAGGAACAUAUAGCGGUCAGAGGAACUCUUUAAUUCCCCAGUUCCAUGCUGUCCGAAUGCACAAAAAUGGGUUCUAGGAACUGUCAAGUUCCUACAAUGUGAAAGAGCUUAUUCAGUAGUGAUGUAGUUUACACAAACAAGUCAGCAAUUGCUAUUGCUGAAGUGAAAAAGGCACCAAAGUGACUGACAAAAAGUAUAAUGUGUUUCUCAUACACAUACUAGUUGACCUCAUUUACUAGUAGGCCUACAUAUCACCAAUUUCACUGGGAAGUGUCAACUGGUUAGUGGCGCAAGCAGGUUGGUGUCAGAUUAUCAUGCAAGCAGUUUAAAGGGACACCAGGCAAGCCUGAUGCUUUUUCUCUAAGAAACUCCCCCUCGCUCGGUCUGAAGCUCUUUUCCUUU